UACAGAGUUCCAAAGAAUAGCAAGGAGAGAUAAGAAAGCCUCCCUGACUCUCUGCCGCCACUUAGGGCCCGGCUCCGCUCCUCCUGCUUCUCCGCCUUCUUUUCUGAGCGCUGCCCGGCCGGCCGCCAUGGUGAACGUGGCCGACACGAAACUGUACGACAUCCUGGGCGUCCCGCCUGGCGCCAGAGAGAACGAGCUGAAGAAGGCAUACAGAAAGUUAGCCAAAGAAUACCGUGCUGAUAAGAAUCCAAAUGCUGGUGACAAAUUCAAAGAAAUAAGUUUUGCAUAUGAAGUACUAUCAAAUCCUGAGAAGCGCGAACUAUAUGACAGAUAUGGAGAACAAGGUCUUUGGGAAGGUAGCGGUGGAGGUGGUGGCAUGGAUGAUAUUUUCUCUCACAUUUUUGGUGGAGGAUUAUUUAGCUUCAUGUGUAAUCAGAGCAGAAGUCGAAAUGGCAGAAGAAGAGAAGACAUGAUGUGUCCACUCAAAGUAUCUUUAGAAGACCUGUAUAAUGGUAAGACAACCAAACUACAAAUUAGCAAGAAUGUAUUCUGUAGUGCAUGCAGUGGCCAAGGUGGGAAGUCUGGAGCUGUUCAGAAGUGUAGUGCUUGUCGGGGUCGAGGUGUACGCAUCAUGAUCAGACAGCUGGCUCCAGGGAUGGUACAGCAGAUGCAGUCUGUGUGUUCUGACUGUAAUGGAGAAGGAGAGGUAAUUAAUGAAAAGGACCGCUGUAAAAAAUGUGAAGGGAAGAAAGUGAUUAAAGAAGGCAAGAUUCUUGAAGUCCACGUAGACAAAGGCAUGAAACAUGGACAGAGAAUUACAUUUACUGGGGAAGCAGACCAGGCCCUAGGAGUGGAACUAGGACACAUUGUUCUUUUGCUACAAGAAAAAGAGCAUGAGGUGUUCCAGAGAGACGGGAAUGAUUUGCACAUGACAUAUAAGAUAGGACUUGUUGAAGCUCUUUGUGGAUUUCAGUUCACAUUUAAGCACCUUGAUGGACGUCAGAUUGCGGUGAAAUACACCCCUGGCAAAGUAAUUGAACCAGGAUGUGUUCGUCUUAUGAAAAAUUUCAUAACUCUCAGGUAUUUCCUACUUGAGCCACGAAACAAGGCAGAAUAA